rnacentral:rRNA from 1 species
CUCUUAUACAAAGUUUGAAUUUCAUUUUUAAGUGAAAAAGCUUAAAUAAACCUGAAGGACGAUAAGACCCUAUAGAGCUUUACUUCAUUAAAAUACAAACAACCUAGAAAUUAAUAUUAUUAUUUGAUAGAAGUUACGUUGGGGCGACGACAAGACAAUAAAUAACUCUUUAUUUUUUAAACAACUAAAAUUGAAAAAUUGAUCCUUAAAGCGAGAUCAAAUGAACAAGUUACCUUAGGGAUAACAGCGUAAUCCUUUUUAAGAGUUCUCAUCAACAAAAGGGUUUGCGACCUCGAUGUUGGAUUAAGAGUUCACCAAGGUGCAGCAGCUUUGGAAGACGGUCUGUUCGACCAUUAAUCUCUU